AUUAUCAAUAUGUACAUCCUUGGAAAGUAUACUACCAAGCUAGGCAGCAGCAAGACAAGUCAAAAAGGCAUUCUCUAGGCAGUGACCACCUUCAGCCUUUGCCACCACAGCAAGUUUCUCCUCUUCAGGAAGGAGCAGCCAUAGCCGAAUACUUCGAGAUUCACCCUUAACCAAGUGGUGCCUCAACUCUUUACUUUUCUUAUUCAUUUAUUUGUUUGUGUAGAAAGGGAGAAUAAAGUGGAUUAAGACAUUCAA